AGUGAACGCUGGCGGUAGGCCUAACACAUGCAAGUCGAACGGCAGCACAGUAAGAGCUGGCUCUUACGGGUGGCGAGUGGCGGACGGGUGAGGAAUACAUCGGAAUCUACUUUUUCGUGGGGGAUAACGUAGGGAAACUUACGCUAAUACCGCAUACGACCUACGGGUGAAAGCAGGGGAUCUUCGUACCUUGCGCGAGUGAAUGAGCCGAUGUCGGAUUAGCUAGUUGGCGGGGUAAAGGCACACCAAGGCGACGAGCCGUAGCUGGUCUGAGAGGAGGAUCGGCCACACUGGAACUGAGACACGGUCCAGACUCCUACGGGAGGCAGCAGUGGGGAAUAUUGGACAAUGGGCGGAAGCCUGAUCCAGCGAUACCGCGUGGGUGAAGAAGGCGUUCGGGUUGUAAAGCCCUUUUGUUGGGAAAGAAAAGCAGCAGGUUAAUACCCCGCUGUUCUGACGGUACCCAAAGAAUAAGCACCGGCUAACUUCGUG
rnacentral:rRNA from 1 species